AUCGCUUCUCGGCUUUUCCCAACAAGAUCAAAAGUGUAGUAUUGUUCUUUUUCAGCGUGAUACGAUAUGAUCCCCAUGUGGGGGUCUUCGAUAUUUUAAAAUGAUUUUUGGAUCAUGGCAAAGGCUAGGGGGUUUCUCCACCUUUGCUGCGGUCAGCCGGGUAUUGAUUUUCUCCGGGGUUGUCCCCCUCCC